AUGAAGGAGUAAAUCAGUCUCAAAAUUGAGAGUCAGAACCUGCAAAACAGCUGCUAUAGAUUUCUGGUAAGUGGCAUGUAAUCCCAGCACCUGGCUCUUGUAAGGUCAACAUUACAAAGACUCAAAGCUUUUAUAAGGGUCAUACUUUCAUAGCUCUGACUGCUUCUUAAGAAUGAAUUCAGGAUCAGAGAGAACAGGAAGGUUUAUUCCUGAGAGGACAUGCUAGCAUCUUGAACCUUCCCAAUCUUCAAGAGCAGUUGUUCAGAACCCAGCCCUGAACGUGGCAUACAGUUGGUUUCUUGCUGAAAGAAACCAUCCAGUGUGAAACAAGGUCCUGUAACAGUUGGUCAUUCCCUCUUCACGAAAACAGAAGAGGUUACUUCCUACAACUUAACCUGAAUUCCAAGUAAGGUAAGGGAGUUACUACCCAUCCUUAUUCAGCACUAGCAAUAAAUCCAUCAUU